CCUACGGGAGGCAGCAGUGAGGAAUAUUGGUCAAUGGACGAGAGUCUGAACCAGCCAAGUAGCGUGAAGGAUGACGGCCCUAUGGGUUGUAAACUUCUUUUAUAUGGGAAUAAAAUGUUCCACGUGUGGGAUUUUGUAUGUACCAUAUGAAUAAGGAUCGGCUAACUCCGUGCCAGCAGCCGCGGUAAUACGGAGGAUCCGAGCGUUAUCCGGAUUUAUUGGGUUUAAAGGGAGCGUAGGUGGCUUGUUAAGUCAGAUGUGAAAGUUUGUGGCUCAACCGUAAAAUUGCAGUGGAAACUGGCAGGCUGGAGUACGGUAGAGGUGGGCGGAAUUCGUGGUGUAGCGGUGAAAUGCUUAGAUAUCACGAAGAACUCCGAUUGCGAAGGCAGUUCACUGGACUGCAACUGACACUGAGGCUCGAAAGUGUGGGUAUCAAACAGGAUUAGAUACCCUUGUAGUC
rnacentral:rRNA from 1 species